ACGGGAGGCAGCAGUGAGGAAUAUUGGUCAAUGGACGGAAGUCUGAACCAGCCAAGUCGCGUGAAGGAUGAAGGUAUUAUGUAUUGUAAACUUCUUUAGCAGUGGAGUAAUAAGGUGGUCGUGACCACUGAUGCGAGUACACUGAGAAUAAGGAUCGGCUAACUCCGUGCCAGCAGCCGCGGUAAUACGGAGGAUCCGAGCGUUAUCCGGAUUUAUUGGGUUUAAAGGGUGCGCAGGCGGCUUUUUAAGUCAGUGGUUAAAUCGUGACGCUCAACGUCAUCACGCCAUUGAUACUGGAGAGCUUGAUUGCGGUCGAGGUUUGCGGAAUUCGUUGUGUAGCGGUGAAAUGCAUAGAUAUGACGAAGAACACCGAUUGCGUAGGCAGCAGACCAGGCCGUAAAUGACGCUCAUGCACGAAAGUGCGGGGAUCGAACAGGAUUAGAUACUCUGGUA
rnacentral:rRNA from 1 species